rnacentral:rRNA from 1 species
CACGUAGGGGGCAAGCGUUGUCCGGAAUCACUGGGCGUAAAGAGCGUGUAGGCGGCUUGGUAAGUCCGCUGUGAAAGUCCAGGGCUCAACCCUGGAAAGCCAGUGGAAACUGUCAGGCUAGAGUCCGGAAGAGGCGAGUGGAAUUCCUGGUGUAGCGGUGAAACGCGCAGAUAUCAGGAGGAACACCAAUGGCGAAGGCAGCUCGCUGGGACGGUACUGACGCUGAUGCACGAAAGCGUGGGGAG